AUGGACGAGCUGAAUGGAGAAAUAGUGUGCGCCGUUGAAAAAUGGUGCAAGCUUGUUGCUGCUCUAUCGAGCGGUCAACACGCUAGAGUAGCUGAUACAACAUUGCGCAACAUGCCGCAGAUACCAUCUAUUAAGAUGCGUAUCCUACUGAUUAGGUAUAUGAUUGAGAAUUUUGAUGCCAGCAAGUCUAGAUUCAUUAUACAAGAGCAGGUUGGGAAGGUGACUCUCGGUGCGGUCGACGUCGAGUGCAUCUUUAACCUCGGGAACCAACGACUCUCCGCUUUGGACAUUCUGAUUGAAGAAGGAGAGGACAUGAAGGAGCGGUACUUGUACUGGGAGAAGGUGCAACCUGUCGAAGGCGAUUGCGCCUAUAAUCCCAACUUGUCCACACAACCUCUUAUGAGGAACUGGACUGAAGGUGCAGCCACUAGGAGAGAUCGGUUCGACUGUGACAAUGGGCGCGGCCGUGGUAACGUGAAGAGGUUGUUGGAGAAGUUGAACAAAUCAGGUGUCAUGUACAAGCCGGCUGCUCCCAUGCCAUCCGUGGACAAUGAUGUGGAUAAAGAACUGGAUUCGUUCGAGAAUGCUCUCUUUUCCGAAAUUGAUGAGCCGGAGGUUGUGGCAGAUAAGUUGAUGCCGGAAAUAAUUGAUGCAAUUGUUUCAUUUGUCGAGUUAGCUGCUAGCACCGACAAGAAUAAGGGGAAGAAAGUUUACUACAGUGAAGGGCGUGGCAUAUCUCUGACUUCCGAAAGGAUUCGACCGGUUAUUGAUGCUUAUAUGGGACAUUUGGAGCUGCGCGUUGGUCAUAAUCAUUACCUCUGA
rnacentral:rRNA from 1 species